rnacentral:rRNA from 1 species
GACGAACGCUGGCGGCGUGCUUAACACAUGCAAGUCGAACGGAAAGGCCCUGCUUUUGUGGGGUGCUCGAGUGGCGAACGGGUGAGUAACACGUGAGUAACCUGCCCUUGACUUUGGGAUAACUUCAGGAAACUGGGGCUAAUACCGGAUAGGAGCUCCUGCUGCAUGGUGGGGGUUGGAAAGUUUCGGCGGUUGGGGAUGGACUCGCGGCUUAUCAGCUUGUUGGUGGGGUAGUGGCUUACCAAGGCUUUGACGGGUAGCCGGCCUGAGAGGGUGACCGGCCACAUGGGGACUGAGGUACGGCGCAGACUCGUACGGGAGGCAGCAGUGGGGAGUAUUGCACAAUGGGCGGAAGCCUGAUGCAGCAACGCCGCGGGCGGGAUGACGGCCUUCGGGUUGUAAACCGCUUUCGCCUGUGACGAAGCGUGAGUGACGGUAAUGGGUAAAGAAGCACCGGCUAACUACGUG